GCGCUGGACUGUGGCGGCGCCUCCAGCAGCUCCGGACGGCGGCUGUCAGCGCUCUCCCUCUCGCCUGCCCGGGCUGAAGGUUGCAGCACCGCUGUGGAGCUGGAGCUCCGCGAGCCCCUCUCAACCUCCGGCUGGUCCCUCUCACUCUCCCCGCCCCUUCCCCGCCGCACACGCGCGCGCGCGCACACACACACACACACACCGCGCCGCCGAAACACAAACAGAGGGGGAGGGAAGACCGCGAGCUGAGCAGGACUCAGAAACUUUGCUCGCCACUCAUUGAUCCCCGCACUUUAGUUCAGCCGGACUCCCCCUGGCUCCCGGUGCUGUCACCUACCGCCCCUCCCUCGCCCCAGCCCCAUUGGACCCGAGCUGAAGCGGCCCCGCCUGGCACUCCUACAGCCAGCGCGCUCCGACUUUUCGGCCUCCGACUGGCUUCUCCGGAUGCUAAUCACUCCAGCCUCCCGGAGGACGAGCGAGCCAACUGCGGUCCAGGUCUAACCCUAAACCUGUCUCCAUUCGCCCCUCCCCUACCUCCAGGUGAGUAGGGGCGCCAAGGCCUGGGCACCAACUGCACUUUGGAUUUCCUAUAGGAAAAGCCGGAGGAACUCCUGUUUUGUUUCCUUUCCCAAAGUUUGGAAUUUUGAUCUUUGUUGGGAGUAUUGCCCUCUAGCCAUUUUCUAGCCAAAGAAAUCCUGACGAAAUGGUUUCUUUCUGUUUUGGUUUAAUUUUUGUCUGGGGGAUAGGUAGAUAUGAGAAAAAUUGAAAUGAAUAGAAUGAAAUUUAAAUUUUAAAAUUAUCCACGUGCCACUCGAGGCACUCAGAUUAACUCCCCUGCUAUAUACUGUGGCUGAUUUUUCGGUAUCACGCAGCAUUUCAAAGGUGGGGGGGGGGGAGGUGAAUAGGAUUCAGGUCAGUAUUAUUUCCCCUUUAAGGAAAACCGCUUAGAAAAUAAGAAUUUAAGCCAAGUAAUGCAAAUAUAGGGCGUAAGUCAUACAUUUCAUCCACAGUGACCCCCUCCAAAUUUAAAAUUUCUGAGCUGGGAGAUGAUUUAGCCAUGAGUAAAUACUGCCCUCUGCUGUUUUCUUUCAGUCUUACAUCUUUAGUCGUCUGGUUUCUUGUUUAAAACUAAAGGCAGAGACUAGAAGGAUCUGGUUACAAGGCGAAUUCCUCCUUCUUGCCUAGGGAUAGUUGCAGAGAAAAAAGAUCUUUGGGGAUCUCCUAGUGCCUUUCUUUACUUAGGUAAAAAAAAAUAUUUUUUUAACCAAUAAGGCAGACAGCAAAUCCAGGUCGUCUCAUCCAGACAGCCUAUAACCCAAAAUUGAUAUAUGUAAAUCUGAAUGGUAAAAAACAUUAUCAACAAUUCCUUUGUUUAGAACAUUUACUUCCGCGGUUUUCUAUACCAUAUAUACCAAUAUACAUAUAUACACAGUAUAUAUGAUGAGUGAAUUGGAAAAGGACAAGAAAGUAUUUCAUCAUUUUUGUAUUUUCAGCCCAUGAAAAUUGUAAAAGCAUUGGAAGUUAUUCUUUUAAAAGAGAUAUUUAAAAGUGUUUUCUCAAAACUCAUGUUUCUGCCAAUAAAUUUUGGAUUUUAUUUUGAUGUAAUUUAACCCACAAAGAUUUGUAUAUUUACAAAGUGAA
ensembl:lncRNA